AUACAUCUUCUUUUCGAGAGUCCAUCCCAUAAGAACUCCAUAAUUAAACGUAUUUGACUUGGAGAACUCUUUGGAUGGGUGACCUUCUGGGAAGUUUUAUCAAGAUGUAUG
rnacentral:rRNA from 1 species